rnacentral:tRNA from 1 species
GGGGUUGUAGCUCAGUGGUAGAGCACUUGCCUACAAUGUGUGAAGCACUGGGUUCAUUCCCCAGCACCA